CAGUCGCCGCGGGAAUACGAACCGUGCGAACGUUAUUCGGAAUCACUGGGCUUAAAGCGCGUGUAGGCGGGCCGCCACGUCGGCUGCUGAAAUCCCCCGGCUCAACCGGGGAAGUGGCACCGAUACGAGCGGCCUGGAGGGGGGUAGGGGGGACUGGAACUUCCGGUGGAGCGGUGAAAUGCGUUGAGAUCGGAAGGAACGCCCGUGGCGAAAGCGAGUCCCUGGGCCCUUACUGACGCUGAGACGCGAAAGCCAGGGGAGCGAACGGGAUUAGAUACCCGUGUAGUCCCUGUCUCUUAUA
rnacentral:rRNA from 1 species